GCACCUACCGAUUGAAUGGUUCGGGGAAAAUCUCGGACUGCGGCUUGGAUGCCUUCGGGCAACCAAGCUGUGGAAAGUUGUUUAAACCUCAUCAUUUAGAGGAAGGUGAAGUCGUAACAAGGUUUCCGUAGGUGAACCUGCAGAAGGAUCAAGAUCGUAAGAGCGUCGAGGAGGGUAAGAGUGUAGAUCUCGCUGGUCGCCGAAUCAUUAAAAAAAAAAAGAAAAUACACAUAUUGUACAGCUCAAGACACUAUGUAUCCAUAACACGAGACUGAC
rnacentral:misc_RNA from 1 species